CAGCCUACGGGAGGCAGCAGUGAGGAAUAUUGGUCAAUGGCCGAGAGGCUGAACCAGCCAAGUCGCGUGAGGGAUGACGGCCCUACGGGUUGUAAACCUCUUUUGUCGGGGAGCAAGACCCGCCACGAGUGGCGGAGCGAGAGUACCCGAAGAAAAAGCAUCGGCUAACUCCGUGCCAGCAGCCGCGGUAAUACGGAGGAUGCGAGCGUUAUCCGGAUUUAUUGGGUUUAAAGGGUGCGCAGGCGGCUCAUCAAGUCAGCGGUAAAAUGUCGGGGCCCAACCCCGCCCCGCCGUUGAAACUGCCG
rnacentral:rRNA from 1 species